CGAGUCGGCCGGGCGGCCGCGGCGCACGGAACGGCCAGCUCACUGGUACGCCGCGCGCCGAGGAAAGUCCGGACUCCACAGAGCAGGGUGGUUGUCAACGGCAACCCGGGGUGACCCGCGGGACAGUGCCACAGAGAACAGACCGCCGGCCGCGAGGCCGGUAAGGGUGAAACGGUGCGGUAAGAGCGCACCAGCGGAGCGGGUGACCGUUCCGGCUAGGUAAACCCCACCCGGAGCAAGGCCGAAGCACGGAUCGCGGCGUGACGCCGGGAUGCGUGUGCGCGGGCGUCAUGAGGGCUGCUCGCCCCAGCCCGCGGGUGGGCCGCUCGAGGUGCCCGGCGACGGUGCACCCAGAUGGAUGGUCGCCACCGUCCGAGCGAAUUGUCGCCGGACGGGACAGGAUCCGGCUUACACGCCGGCUCGUUCG
rnacentral:RNase_P_RNA from 2 species